CGCGUAGGCGGUUUUGUCGGUCAGAUGUGAAAGCCCAGGGCUCAACCCUGGACGUGCAUUUGAAACAGCAAGACUUGAGUACGGGAGAGGAAAGCGGAAUUCCUGGGUGUAGAGGUGAAAUUCGUAGAUAUCAGGAGGAACACCGAUGGCGAAGGCAGCUUUCUGGACCGAUACUGACGCUGAGGCGCGAAGGCGUGGGGUAGCGAACA
rnacentral:rRNA from 1 species